AGAGUUUGAUCCUGGCUCAGAACGUACGCUGGCGGCACGCCUAACACAUGCAAGUCGAACGAAGUAGCAAUACUUAGUGGCAGACGGGUGAGUAACAUGUGGGUAUCUACCCUUUGGCCUGGAAUAACACGAGGAAACUUGUGCUAAUACCGGAUAAGUCUUUACGGAGAAAGCUUUAUGCACCAUUGGAUGAGCCCGCACUUGAUUAGUUUGUUGGUAGGGUAAUGGCCUACCAAGACUAUGAUCAAUAGCUGAUUUGAGAGGAUGAUCAGCCACAUUGGGACUGAGACACGGCCCAAACUCCUACGGGAGGCAGCAGUGGGGAAUCUUGCACAAUGGAGGAAACUCUGAUGCAGCGAUGCCGCGUGAGUGAAGAAGGCCUUUGGGUUGUAAAGCUCUUUCGUCGGGGAAGAAAAUGACUGUACCCGAAUAAGAAGGUCCGGCUAACUUCGUGCCAGCAGCCGCGGUAAUACGAAGGGACCUAGCGUAGUUCGGAAUUACUGGGCUUAAAGAGUUCGUAGGUGGUUGAAAAAGUUGGUGGUGAAAUCCCAGAGCUUAACUCUGGAACUGCCAUCAAAACUUUUCAGCUAGAGUAUGAUAGAGGAAAGCAGAAUUUCUAGUGUAGAGGUGAAAUUCGUAGAUAUUAGAAAGAAUACCAACUGCGAAGGCAGCUUUCUGGAUCAUUACUGACACUGAGGAACGAAAGCAU
rnacentral:rRNA from 1 species